rfam:Macleaya cordata isolate BLH2017 scaffold1419, whole genome shotgun sequence.
CACUACAAGAGAUGUUGGUGCGGUUCAACCCUACCGCAGCGUCGGAUGAAGAACUUCGACUCUUUGGUCCGGUUGAGCCGCACCAAUAUCCCGUGCUAUUAA